rnacentral:misc_RNA from 1 species
UCCUCGUUGCCGAGGCAGUAUUGCUAGAAAAGUAACUAGCAACAAGGGUUGCGCUCGUUGAAGGACUUAACCUAACAUCUCACGACACGAGCUGACGACGGCCAUGCAUCACCUGUCACCAGUCCAACUAAAUGACUGCCUAGUUUCCUAAGCAUACGACUGGGAUGUCAAGCCUUGGUAAGGUUCUUCGCGUAGCCUCGAAUUAAACCACACGCUCCACCGCUUGUGCGGGUCCCCGUCAAUUCCUUUGAGUUUUAGUCUUGCGACCGUACUCCCCAGGCGGGAUGCUUAACGCGUUAGCUUCGCUACCAAACGGGUCGAUACGUCUGACAGCUAGCAUCCAUCGUUUACGGCGUGGACUAC